rnacentral:piRNA from 1 species
UUCAUGAGGCCUUGAGGCUCUGAAGAGGU